UCUCCGUAGGUGAACCUGCGGAAGGAUCAUUAUCGUAUAACCAAGGUGCAAGGGCUUGUGCACAUCCGAUAUGUUGUGCACGCCCGAGAGCCCGCGCACCCAACCAACUCACCCCUAUGUGCACCACCCCGAAAGUCUCCCUUUAGCUUAACCGGUGAGGGUCUUACGUAUUUACACAAACUCUUUAAACAGUGUAGAACUUAUUUUUUGUUUUUACGAAGACCGAAUCAAAACAACUUUCAACAACGGUGAACUUGGCUCUCGCAGCGAUGAAGAACG
rnacentral:misc_RNA from 1 species